rnacentral:RNase_P_RNA from 1 species
GGUCCGGCCUGUCGCCGGCACCUUAUGGGGUGCGGGAGGAAAGUCCGGGCAGCGCAGGGCGCUCCGCUUCUGAAAGUGGAAGCUGUCGGUGACGGCAGGAUAUGGCAGAAGAAAACAACCGCCGCGCACUAUGCCGCCGGAAAUGGUCGGCGUAUGCGCGGUAAGGGUGAGAAGGCGGUGUAAGAGACCACCGGCCGCCGGGCGAUCGGCGGGCCGUGCCAUCCGGAGGCUGCAAGUUCAUGUAAACCGUCGUUUGAGGGCUGCCCGCCCGAAAGCAUGCUUACGGCGGAGGGUAGAAUGCUGGAGCCGUGCGGUGACGUACGGAGUAGAUAAAUGACAGGCACCGCCACCGGCAACGGCGGCGGUACAGAACCCGGCUUACAGGGCCACUG